AUUCAUUUUUAUGGAGAAGAGAAUUUUACAGCAGUACUUUCACAUACGCGUCCUCUUACAUUAAGUUUCUCUCUAUCUCUCUGUCUCUCCUUCCGAUAUGUACCUUACAGUUUCUCUCACUCUUCUGGUCCUCUAUUUGGGACCAUUGGAUCGGACCACAAGUUAUGUUCUCUUGGAGAAACUGGCAGACAGUAAACUCUGUGCAGAGAAGGAGUGUUCAUAUGCUCUGUCCAUGGCCUUGGCUUUAGAUGACUUCACAGCUCCUGACUGCAGAUUCAUCAAUAUUAAGAAGGGGCAGAUGAUCUAUGUGUACUCCAAACUAAUACCAGCAGAGGGUGCUGGAGUCUUCUGGUCGGGCAGUGUUUACAGUGAGCGUUAUGUGGACCAGAUGGGAAUCAUUGGCUACUUCCCCAGCAACCUGGUAAACGAGACGUACAUAUUCCAGAAGGACAUGGUUCAGCUCCCCACCAGUGUCAUGGACUUCCAUUGUGUUUGAACUUGCACAGACAUGUCUCAGCUAUUGCAAACAAGAACAGAUAGAGAAACUGAAAUUAUUCAAGAUGCUAUUUUCUACCAAUAUUAUUUAGAUUUGUGUACUGAAAUUACAAACCUUUUUAAUAAAACAUUAUUUCUAUUCCAUGCAUAGAACUGCCUCAUGAAGAGACCUUUUCUUUUCACAUCUCGGUAUUCAGGGUUAAGAAUCAGAAUCAGAAUCCGGUUUAUUGCCAAAAACAUCGAAACAUCGAAUGUGUUACAAGUUUGUAAACCGUCCUGAGCCAACAAUUGUUGUGUGGAUGGAGAGUGAAGAGCAUUACAAGGUGUGGAUGGCAGGUUCAUCUGGAAGCCUGAGGCCUGUGAGGUUGUGAGGGCGGUCAGCAGUCAAGGGGAGAUGCUGAGGUAUGCUAAUGACCCAUCUGCUGCUUAGCCUUUCGCCCACGCCUCAACUGAAUGAG